ACUUCCUGCGUGUUGGGUGGCUUCCUGCGGCGUUUCCACUCUCGCUCUCCUUUCGUUGCCUGAUCGCCGCCAUCAUGGGUCGCAUGCAUGCUCCCGGGAAGGGCCUGUCCCAGUCGGCUUUACCCUAUCGACGCAGCGUCCCCACUUGGUUGAAGUUGACAUCUGACGACGUGAAGGAGCAGAUUUACAAACUGGCCAAGAAGGGCCUUACUCCUUCACAGAUCGGUGAGUGUUUGUGUCUAAUAUAGUCUCUUUCGCCUGUCCUCGUGUGACUUGUAGGAUCUAGUAGAUGGUAAAGUUAUUUUAAAAAUAGCCAAAACUAUGGUCUCGCCACCGUGCUAGAGGCAUCAUUGUAAGCACUUCACAUGUACUGAUUUCGUUUAAUUCUGACCACAAUACUUUGAAAUAAAUCUUCGUGGCUUUCACCCCAGUUUACAGUUGAGGAAGCAGAGGCACAGUGCAGCUGGAUACUAACCAGCCCCAAAUCACACAGCUGUCAAGUGGAGGAGUUGGAAUUGGCUAAGCAGAGUGCCUGACACAGUUCCUCACAGUUAGGUGUGGUUUGAAU
rnacentral:sRNA from 1 species